AAGUCGUAACAAGGUUUCCGUAGGUGAACCUGCGGAAGGAUCAUUAACACUUUUUAUCCAAUAAAAAAACUAAACGUGAACUUUUCCCCUCCCUAUAUCAUUUUACAUGAUAUAGGCUAACCAUUUAUUUUAUUCAAACCACUUUAACUUUUUUAUAAGUCUUUGUUUGUAAAGUCUAACGGCCUACAAAACAAAAAGACUGACUAACUAAAAAUUUUACUUAAGAUGUCAAACAUUAAAUGUUGAUCUCUUAAUUAAUAUUUUUUCUUUACGAAAUAAAUAUUAGUAUAUAAGAACAACUCUUAGCAAUGGAUAUCUUGGUUCUC
rnacentral:misc_RNA from 1 species